UACGUAGGCAGCAAGCGUUGUUCGGAGUUACUGGGCGUAAAGGGUGUGUAGGCGGUUCUCUAAGUCUGGUGUGAAAUCUCCCGGCUCAACUGGGAGGGUGCGCCGGAAACUGGAGAGCUAGAGUACUGGAUGGGAGAGUGGAAUUCCCGGUGUAGCGGUGAAAUGCGUAGAGAUCGGGAGGAACACCAGUGGCGAAGGGCGGCUACCUGGACCAGCACUGACACUGAGGCACGAAAGCGUGGGGAGCAAACAG
rnacentral:rRNA from 1 species